CUCCUUCACACUCUUCAUACUCAUCUGUUAAUGGUCUAGCAUUUAAUGUACCCUCUAUCUCUACUAGCACUGUGGUAAGUUCAUCUACUGUAAAUUUGGCAUUACCUAGAACCUUUCUAAGACACCGUUUAACACUCCGAACCAUUCUCUCAAAAAAUCCUCCCCACCAAGGCGCUCUUUCUAAAUUAAACCUCCAUGUUACUCGUUUGGUUUGCAAUUCCGCCUUAACCUUAGGUUGGUUAAACAACCGUCUAACUGCCCUUUCUGCUGCCUUAAACGUUUUGGCAUUGUCAGAUACUAUGAGGCUUGGCAUUCCUCUCCUAGCAGCAAAUCUCCGUAGACAACAUAAAAAUGUCUCUGCAGACAAAUCCCUAACUAGCUCCAAAUGUAUAGCUCUAGUCACACAACAAGAAAACAAUGCUAUAUAAACUUUACUUGGACAUUUUGCACAACACUUUACAAACAAUGGACUUGCAAAAUCUAUUCCCACAUUAGAAA